AAUCAACGCUGGCGGCGUGCCUCAGACAUGCAAGUCGAACGCGAAAGUCCCCUUCGGGGGAUGAGUAGAGUGGCGCACGGGUGAGUAACACGUAGGUAAUCUACCUUCGGGUGGGGAAUAACAACCGGAAACGGUUGCUAAUACCGCAUAAUGCAGCGGCACCUAAUGGUGACAGUUGUUAAAGCGGGGGAUCGCAAGACCUCGCGCCUGAAGAGGAGCCUGCGGCGGAUUAGCUAGUUGGCAGGGUAACGGGCUACCAAGGCGACGAUCCGUAGCCGGCCUGAGAGGGCGGUCGGCCACACUGACACUGACAUACGGGUCAGACUCCUACGGGAGGCAGCAGUCGGGAAUUUUGGGCAAUGGGCGAAAGCCUGUCCCAGCAACGCCGCGUGAAGGAUGAAAUCCCUCGGGAUGUAAACUUCGCAAGAACGGGGAGAAUAAGCCGGUGUCAACACCACCGGCGAUGACGGUACCGUUUGUAAGCUCCGGCUAACUCCGUGACAGCAGCCGCGGUAAUAC
rnacentral:rRNA from 1 species